AGGGCAGACGGUGGAUGCCUUGGCUCUCGGAGGCGACGAAGGACGUGAUAAGCUGCGAAAAGCCCGGGGGAGGCGCAAAUAGCCCUUGAUCCCGGGAUAUCCGAAUGGGGCAACCCGGCAGGCUGAAGGCCUGUCAUCCCGUAAGGGAGGCGAACGUGGGGAACUGAAACAUCUAAGUACCCAUAGGAGGAGAAAAUAAACAAUGAUUCCGUAAGUAGUGGCGAGCGAACACGGAAGAGCCCAAACCCAUGUCGUCUAGGCGACACGGGGGUUGUAGGACCACGACGUGGCAAGAAGGAAGGGAAAUGGAACGACUUGGAAAAGUCGGCCAUAGACGGUGAAAGCCCGGUACAUGACUCCCUUACGAAGCCUAGUGGUAUCCUGAGUAGCGCGGGGCACGAGAAAUCUUGCGUGAAUUAGCGGGGCCCAUCCCGUAAGGCUAAAUACUCCCGAGAGACCGAUAGCGAACCAGUACCGUGAGGGAAAGGUGAAAAGAACCCCGAGCAGGGGAGUGAAAUAGACCCUGAACCCGUCUGCCUACAAGCGGUCGGAGCGUCGUAAUGACGUGACGGCGUGCCUUUUGCAUAAUGAACCUACGAGUUACCUUCCCCGGCAAGGUUAAGUUCUUGAGGAACGGAGCCGAAGCGAAAGCGAGUCUGAACAGGGCGCCAAGUCGGGGGGGGUAGACGCGAAACCGAGUGAUCUACCCUUGGCCAGGUUGAAGGUUGGGUAACACCAACUGGAGGACCGGAUGGGUAAGCGUUGAAAAGCUUUCCAAUGAGCUGAGGGUAGGGGUGAAAGGCUAAUCAAACUCGGAGAUAGCUCGUACUCCCCGAAAUGCAUUUAGGUGCAGCCUCUUUAUAGUAUAUCGUGAGGUAGAGCGACUGAUUGGAUGCGAGGGCUUCACCGCCUAUCAAGUCCAGAUAAACUCCGAAUGCGCGAUAUAUAUUUACAGGGAGUGAGGGCGCGGGUGCUAAGGUCCGUGUCCGAGAGGAGAAGAAUCCAGACCACCGGCUAAGGCCCCCAAAUGAUCGUUAAGUUGAACUAACGAGGUCGGAUCGCAGAGACAGCUAGGAUGUUGGCUUGGAAGCAGCCAUUCAUUUAAAGAGUGCGUAACAGCUCACUAGUCGAGCGAUCUGGCGUGGAUAAUAAUCGGGCAUAAACGAUCUGCCGAAGCCGUGGAUGUCGCAAGACAUGGUAGGGGAGCAUUCCAUGCCGCGUCGAAGAUGAGGGAUGACCCUUGUUGGAGCGCAUGGAAAAGCAAAUGUAGGUAUGAGUAACGAUAAGGGGGGCGAGAAACCCCCCCGCCGAAAGACCAAGGUUUCCUGAUCAACGCUAAUCGGAUCAGGGUGAGUCGGGACCUAAGGCAAAGCCGAACGGCGCCGCCGAUGGAAGAAUGGGUUAAUAUUCCCAUACUGCCUCAUGGAGUGACGUGGAGACGGAGAAGUGACAGUCCUGCCGGCUGACGGAAUAGCCGGUUGAAGGGUGUAGAUAUUGAUUCCCGUAGGCAAAUCCGCGGGGAGAGUCGAACCUGAGAGUAUACGGAGCGCUUGCGCAACGUAAUAUGGACGUAACCAUGCUCCCGAGAAAAUCCGCUAAACUUAUCCAUGCGGCACCCGUACCGUAAACGGACACACGUGGUCGGGUUGAGAAUACUGAGGCGCUCGAGUGAUUCACGGUUAAGGAACUAGGCAAAUUGACCCUGUAACUUCGGGAUAAAGGGUCCUCGUCGUAAGGCGAGGCGCAGAGAAUAGGUCCAGGCAACUGUUUAACAAAAACACAUGGCUGUGCGAAAUGGAAACAUGAGGUAUACAGCCUGACACCUGCCCGGUGCCGGAAGGUUAAGAGGAGAUGUCAUCCGCGAGGAGAAGCGUUGAAUUGAAGCCCCGGUAAACGGCGGCCGUAACUAUAACGGUCCUAAGGUAGCGAAAUUCCUUGUCGGGUAAGUUCCGACCUGCACGAAUGGUGUAAUGAUCUGGACACUGUCUCAACCGUGAGCUCGGUGAAAUUGUAGUAUCGGUGAAGAUGCCGAUUACCCGCGAUGGGACGAAAAGACCCCGUGAACCUUUACUAUAGCUUUACAUUGAGUUUGGGCAGACGAUGUGUAGGAUAGGCCGGAGGCUUUGAAGCAGGUACGCCAGUAUUUGUGGAGCCGACGUUGAAAUACGGCCCUUCGGUUGUUUGAGUUCUAACUCCUAGUUAGGAGGACACUGUAUGGUGGGUAGUUUGACUGGGGGUGGUCGCCUCCAAAAGCGUAACGGAGGCUUCUAAAGGUGCCCUCAGACCGAUUGGUAACCGGUCGUAAAGUGUAAUGGCAUAAGGGCGCUUGACUGGGAGACAUACAAGUCGAUCAGGUAGGAAACUAGAGCAUAGUGAUCCGGUGGUUCCGCAUGGGAGGGCCAUCGCUCCAAGGAUAAAAGGGACUCCGGGGAUAACAGGCUGAUCAUUCCCAAGAGCUCAUAUCCACGGAAUGGUUUGGCCCCUCCAAGUCCGCUCCUCACUUCCUGGGGCUGGAGAAGGUCCCAAGGGUUGGGCCUUUCCCCCCUUAAAAUGGCACCC
rnacentral:rRNA from 1 species